rnacentral:rRNA from 1 species
AGAGUUGAUCAUGGCUCAGGACGAACGCUGGCGGCGUGCCUAACACAUGCAAGUCGAACGGAUUGCUUAGAGCGGAAGGCUCGGCCGGAAGCUUAGGCAGUUAGUGGCGAACGGGUGAGUAACACGUGAGCAACCUGCCUUUAAGAGGGGGAUAACAUUCCGAAAGGGAUGCUAAUACCGCAUGACAUAGCGGGGUCGCAUGGCCCUGCUAUCAAAGAUUUAUCGCUUAAAGAUGGGCUCGCGGCCGAUUAGGUAGUUGGUGAGGUAAUGGCCCACCAAGCCGACGAUCGGUAGCCGGACUGAGAGGUUGAACGGCCACAUUGGGACUGAGACACGGCCCAGACUCCUACGGGAGGCAGCAGUGGGGAAUAUUGCACAAUGGGCGAAAGCCUGAUGCAGCGACGCCGCGUGAGGGAAGAAGGCCUUCGGGUUGUAAACCUCUGUCUUCGGUGACGAAAAUGACGGUAGCCGAGGAGGAAGCCACGGCUAACUACGUGCCAGCCGCCGC